GKUKGUCCUGCCAGUAGUCAUACGCUGGUCUCAAAGAUUAAGCCAUGCAUGUGUAAGUGUAAAUGAUUUUUAGUAUGGAACUGCGAAUGGCUCAUUAUAUCAGUUAUAGUUUAUUUGAUGGAGUUUACUAGUUGGAUAACCGUAGUAAUUCUAGAGCUAAUACAUGAGUAAAUCCCUUAAUUGGGUAUGUUUAUUAGUUGUAACCAUUUUCCUUCGGGUAAGUGUGUGAGUAAUAAUAAUGUGUUAUAUCGUAUGCCUUGUGGUAGCGAUGGAUGAUUUAAGUUUCUGCCCUAUCAGCUUUGGAUGGUAGUGUAUUGGACUACCAUGGCAGUAACGGGUAACGAAGAAUUUGGGUUCGAUUUCGGAGAGGGAGCCUGAGAGAUGGCUACCACAUCCAAGGAAGGCAGCAGGCGCGUAAAUUACCCAAUCCUGAUAUAGGGAGGUAGUGACAAUAAAUCCCAAUGCGGAGCCAUUGGUUUUGCAAUUGGAUUGAGAAUAACGUAAAAGCUUAUUCGAUAAACAAUUGGAGGGCAAGUCUGGUGCCAGCAGCCGCGGUAAUUCCAGCUCCAAUAGCGUAUAUUAACGUUGUUGCAGUAAAAAAA
rnacentral:rRNA from 1 species